rnacentral:rRNA from 1 species
AUGAACGCUGGCGGCGUGCCUAAUACAUGCAAGUCGAGCGAACAGACGAGGAGCUUGCUCCUCUGACGUUAGCGGCGGACGGGUGAGUAACACGUGGAUAACCUACCUAUAAGACUGGGAUAACUUCGGGAAACCGGAGCUAAUACCGGAUAAUAUAUUGAACCGCAUGGUUCAAUAGUGAAAGACGGUUUUGCUGUCACUUAUAGAUGGAUCCGCGCCGCAUUAGCUAGUUGUAAGGUAACGGCUUACCAAGGCAACGAUGCGUAGCCGACCUGAGAGGGUGAUCGGCCACACUGGAACUGAGACACGGUCCAGACUCCUACGGGAGGCAGCAGUAGGGAAUCUUCCGCAAUGGGCGAAAGCCUGACGGAGCAACGCCGCGUGAGUGAUGAAGGUCUUCGGAUCGUAAAACUCUGUUAUUAGGGAAGAACAAAUGUGUAAGUAACUAUGCACGUCUUGACGGUACCUAAUCAGAAAGCCACGGCUAACUACGU